AGAGUUGAUCCUGGCUCAGGAUGAACGCUAGCGGCAGGCUUAACACAUGCAAGUCGAGGGGCAGCGGGAUGUAGCAAUACAUUGCCGGCGACCGGCGGAUGGGUGCGUAACGCGUAUGCAACCUACCUUAGUACAGGGGAAUAACCUUUCGAAAAGGGAGACUAACACCCCAUGGUAUUGAUUUAAGGCAUCUUAGAUUAAUUAAAUAUUUAUAGGUAUAAGAUGGGCAUGCGUAUGAUUAGCUAGUUGGUAAGGUAACGGCUUACCAAGGCGACGAUCAUUAGGGGUUCUGAGAGGAAGGUCCCCCCACACUGGUACUGAGACACGGACCAGACUCCUACGGGAGGCAGCAGUGAGGAAUAUUGGUCAAUGGGCGCAAGCCUGAACCAGCCAUGCCGCGUGCAGGGAAAGACGGCCUUAUGGGUUGUAAACUGCUUUUACAUAAGACUAACCGUAUAUUUGCGAAUAUACCUGAAUGUAUUAUGAGAAUAAGGAUCGGCUAACUCCGUGCCAGCAGCCGC
rnacentral:rRNA from 1 species